AGUAAUACAUAAGUAACCUGCCCUAGACAGGGGGAUAACUAUUGGAAACGAUAGCUAAGACCGCAUAGGUACGGACACUGCAUGGUGACCGUAUUAAAAGUGCCUCAAAGCACUGGUAGAGGAUGGACUUAUGGCGCAUUAGCUGGUUGGCGGGGUAACGGCCCGCCAAGGCGACGAUGCGUAGCCGACCUGAGAGGGUGACCGGCCACACUGGGACUGAGACACGGCCCAG
rnacentral:rRNA from 1 species